CUUUCCCUUCGGGGACAGAAUGACAGGUGGUGCAUGGUUGUCGUCAGCUCGUGUCGUGAGAUGUUGGGUUAAGUCCCGCAACGAGCGCAACCCUUAUUGUUAGUUGCCAGCAUUAAGUUGGGCACUCUAGCAAGACUGCCGGUGACAAACCGGAGGAAGGUGGGGAUGACGUCAAAUCAUCAUGCCCCUUAUGACCUGGGCUACACACGUGCUACAAUGGACGGUACAACGAGUCGCAAGACCGCGAGGUUUAGCAAAUCUCUUAAAGCCGUUCUCAGUUCGGAUUGUAGGCUGCAACUCGCCUACAUGAAGUCGGAAUCGCUAGUAAUCGCGGAUCAGCAUGCCGCGGUGAAUACGUUCCCGGGCCUUGUACACACCGCCCGUCACACCAUGAGAGUUUGUAACACCCAAAGCCGGUGGGGUAACCUUUUGGAGCCAGCCGUCUAAGGUGGGACAGAUGAUUGGGGUGAAGUCGUAACAAGGUAGCCGUAGGAGAACCUGCGGCUGGAUCACCUCCUUUCUAAGGA
rnacentral:rRNA from 2 species